CCCAUAACUACGGAUAACCCGUUGAAAGACGGCCUAAUACCGUAUGAUAUCGUUUGCUGACAUCAAAUAACGAUUAAAGGUUUAGCGGUUAUGGAUGGGGAUGCGUCUGAUUAGCUUGUUGGCGGGGUAACGGCCCACCAAGGCAACGAUCAGUAGGGGUUCUGAGAGGAAGGUCCCCCACAUUGGAACUGAGACACGGUCCAAACUCCUACGGGAGGCAGCAGGG
rnacentral:rRNA from 1 species